rnacentral:rRNA from 1 species
CCGUGCCAGCAGCCGCGGUAAUACGGAGGAGGCAAGCGUUAUCCGGAAUUAUUGGGCGUAAAGCGUCCGCAGGGGGCGCAUCAAGUCUGCUGUUAAAGGUCGGAGCUAAACUCCGGUAGAGCAGUGGAAACUGGUGCGCUAGAGGGCGACGGGGGUAGAGGGAAUUCCCAGUGUAGCGGUGAAAUGCGUAGAGAUUGGGAAGAACACCGGUGGCGAAAGCGCUCUACUGGGUCGCACCUGACCCUCAGGGACGAAAGCUAAGGUAGCGAAAGGGAUUAGAUACCCCUGUAGUCUUAGCCGUAAACGAUGGAUACUAGGCGUGGUUUGUAUCGACCCAAGCCGUGCCGAAGCUAACGCGUUAAGUAUCCCGCCUGGGGAGUACGCACGCAAGUGUGAAACUCAAAGGAAUUGACGGGGGCCCGCACAAGCGGUGGAGGAUGUGGUUUAAUUCGAUGCAACGCGAAGAACCUUACCAGGGCUUGACAUCCCGCGAAUCUCUCUGAAAGGAGAGAGUGCCUACGGGAACGCGGAGACAGGUGGUGCAUGGCUGUCGUCAGCUCGUGUCGUGAGAUGUUGGGUUAAGUCCCGCAACGAGCGCAACCCUCGUCCUUAGUUGCCAGCAUUAGGUUGGGCACUCUAGGGAGACUGCCGGUGACAAACCGGAGGAAGGUGAGGAUGACGUCAAGUCAGCAUGCCCCUUAUGCUCUGGGCAACACACGUCCUACAAUGGUCGGGACAAAGGGGAGCAAGCUCGCGAGAGUAAGCGAAUCCCAGCAAACUCGGCCUCAGUUCAGAUAGCAGGCUGCAACUCGCCUGCUUGAAGGAGGAAUCGCU